rnacentral:rRNA from 1 species
GACGUAGGGGGCCAGCGUUGUUCGGAAUUACUGGGUGUAAAGGGUUCGUAGGCGGUGUGGCAAGUUGGGAGUGAAAUCUCUGGGCUCAACCCAGAGGCUGCUUCCAAAACUGCCAUGCUUGAGUGUGGGAGAGGCGCGUGGAAUUGCAGGUGUAGCGGUGAAAUGCGUAGAUAUCCGUAGGAACAUCCGAGGCGAAGGCGGCUCGCUGGAUCACAACUGACGCUGAGGGACGAAAGCUAGGGGAGCAAACAGG